rnacentral:hammerhead_ribozyme from 1 species
ACUCAGCUGAUGAGUCCCAAAUAGGACGAAACGCGUGUCCUAGAU